rnacentral:rRNA from 1 species
UACGGGGGGAGCAAGCGUUGUUCGGAUUUACUGGGCGUAAAGAGCGCGCAGGCGGUCGUUCAAGUCGCGUGUGAAAGCCCCCGGCUCAACUGGGGAGGGUCACGCGAUACUGAUCGACUCGAAGGCAGGAGAGGGAAGUGGAAUUCCCGGUGUAGUGGUGAAAUGCGUAGAUAUCGGGAGGAACACCAGUGGCGAAGGCGACUUCCUGGCCUGUACUUGACGCUGAGGCGCGAAAGCUAGGGGAGCAAACGGG